GAACAUAUGGCUCAGCUGGUAGAGCAGCCGACUCUUAAUCGGCAGGUCGUCGGUUCGAUCACAACUAUGUCUGCCA
rnacentral:tRNA from 1 species